CUAAGAAGAUACUAGGCUUCCGCGAUUUUGGUGUGUCCUCCCUGUUCAUGUAGACCAUGUUAGCAACCUCGAUCAACUGUGUGACAUUUACUCCACUGACACCUUCAGGAUUUUGGACCUUCCUUCUGAUAUCUAGGUAGUUGGGCUAUGAAAGAAGUCUUUCCCAUCUGUUGGCCUUCUGGUGUCCUGGGAUCAAACGGGGUGUAAAUGAGGAAAGAAAGGAAAGUAUUUCUUCAUCUUGUCUCAUUCAUCCUUGUGAAAAAGCCACCUUCCUGGGGCGCCUGGGUGGCUCAAUCUUUA